GAUUGACAAACUAAGAGAGGCGGCCGUGAUGGGACAGCGCACAGCACACGCCUGGCGUGGACAGCGGCAAUGGGACGCGAGCACUUAAUUUUGGAGGAGGUGCCAUCACGCAUAGAACUGGACUGCACGCUGCUGAGGUAGCAGGGCUUAGAUCACACGCUCACAAGUCUCGGUUGUCCAAAAAAGCCUCUGUUCCCAUCUCUAACGUGGAGCUGGAAUGGUAUCCUCUGAAUUCAAGUUUGAGCUGAUCUUCAACUCUGUGUUCAAUCAUACUAUGCUGAUGGAAAUCUGGGUAAGCCAAAAUCCCCUUUCUCUGGGAUUUACCGUUGGAAUUUGGUUGGUUGACCUCAGGCAGGUGAACAAGAAGAGACACGCAGUAAUAAAAUUCAAGAAGUGCAGAAUUUAGAGCAUUCUCAGUGCUAGGGUAAGUAGAUGUUACAAAGAUGGCGCUGAUGACAAAAAGAUGAAUGGAGCCUCAAAGCCGGAAGACUGCAGCCCAGUGUGAGAACCAGCCUAAAGCUCUUGCAAGGAGGGUGCAGCAUCACCAUAGAACCUGGCUGUGUACCGUGUGGUCAAGUCAGAGAACACGCCAGCUUUUAAAAG